rnacentral:rRNA from 1 species
CCUACGGGUGGCAGCAGUGGGGAAUAUUGCACAAUGGGGGAAACCCUGAUGCAGCGACGCCGCGUGAGUGAAGAAGUAUCUCGGUACGUAAAGCUCUAUCAGCAGGGAAGAAAAUGACGGUACCUGACUAAGAAGCCGCGGCUAACGACGUGCCAGCAGCCGCGGUAAUACGGAGGGGGCAAGCGUUAUCCGGAUUUACUGGGUGUAAAGGGAGCGUAGACGGCAGCACAAGUCUGGAGUGAAAUCCCGGGGCUUAACCCCGGAACUGCUUUGGAAACUGUGCGGCUGGAGUGCAGGAGGGGUAAGCUGAAUUCCUCGUGUAGCGGUGAACUGCGUAGAUCUUAGGCGGACCCCCGGUGGCGAAGGCGGCUUACUGGACUGUAACUGACGUUGAGGCUCG